rnacentral:rRNA from 1 species
GCGGUGGUCGGGAAUAAUUGGGCGUAAAGCGCGCGCAGGCGGCUUCUUAAGUCAGGUUGUGAAAGCCCACGGCUCACACCGUGGAGGGCCACUUGAAACUGGGAGGCUUGAGUGCAGGAGAGGAGAGCGGAAUUCCACGUGUAGCGGUGAAAUGCGUAGAGAUGUGGAGGAACACCCGUGGCGAAGGCGGCUCUCUGGCCUGUAACUGACGCUGAGGCGCGAAAGCGUGGGGAGCGAACAGGAUUAGAUACCCUGGUAGUCCACGCCGUAAACGUUGAGUGCUAGGUGUUGGGGACUCCAAUCCUCAGUGCCGCAGCUAACGCAAUAAGCACUCCGCCUGGGGAGUACGGCCGCAAGGCUGAAACUCAAAGGAAUUGACGGGGACCCGCUCAAGCGGUGGAACAUGUGGUUUUUUUCUCAUCAUCGCGAAAAACCUUACCAUGUC